GACGAACGCUGGCGGCGUGCUUAACACAUGCAAGUCGAACGGAAAGGCCCUGCUUUUGUGGGGUGCUCGAGUGGCGAACGGGUGAGUAACACGUGAGUAACCUGCCCUUGACUUUGGGAUAACUUCAGGAAACUGGGGCUAAUACCGGAUAGGAGCUCCUGCUGCGUGGGGGGGGUUGGAAAGUUUCGGCGGUUGUGGCUGGACUCGCGGCUUAUCAGCUGGUUGGUGGGGUAGUGGCUGCCCAAGGCUUUGACGGGUAGCCGGCAUGAGAGGGUGAACGGGGACAUGGCGCCUGCGGUAGGCAGCAGAAGCCAACGGGAGGCAGCAGUGGGGAGUCUUGCACAGUGGGCGGAAGCCUGAUGCAGAAACGCCGCGUGCGGGAUGACGGCUUUCGAGUUGUAAACCGCUGUCGAAUGUGACGAAGCGUGCGUGACGGUAAUGGGUAAAGAAGCACCGGCUAACUACGUG
rnacentral:rRNA from 1 species